CCAAAAGCUUAGUUUGAUUAGUUUAAAAAAAGAAAAAAAAAAGAUAACAUGUAACUGACUUCUCCCAAAGGAACGUAACACACCACCUUUUUGCUGCUUUCACUCGGACAAAGGAGAUAAGGGGAAUCAAUCACCCCCCACCAAACCCCCCCAGUUUGGUCUGCGUGCUGAAUGGCAAUUCGUUAGCACCUGCUGACGUCUUCAUCCAACGGCUGCAGAUGGACUUCAGCUAUCCAAUGGCUAAGCGACAUUUUCUGGGACCCACAGCUUUAUUUCCUGCUCUCUCGUUCGAAAUUAAUUCUAAUAAAUAAAAUCAUGAAGUCUCCACCGCCCCUCCACCUUCUCUUCCUCGCCCACACCACGACCGCCACUUGGAAAAAACUCUUCCAAACGUAGUCGGAGGAAGCGGCGAUGCGGAGGCUGAAAAAUUAAAAUAAUUUCCCUAUUUACUACAACAGAAAUAAAAAUUAAAUUAAAGAAAAUAAAUCGUCUGACCCCAAAAAUAUACUGCCAGCCGUUUGAUCUCCGAACUCCAUCCUCAGCCGUUGGAUGAAGGCGUCAGCAGGUGCUGACAAAUUGCCAUCCCGCACACAGGCCAAACUCCACCAUCAAUUAUGGCCAAUACCCAC
rnacentral:lncRNA from 1 species